GGAGAUAUGAUCACGAUGCUAGACUUGAGACGAACUUAACCGAUUCAUUGCGUUCAAUCAAGGCUUUCCUUGAAGAUGCAGACAAUAAGCAAUUGGCAAGUACUGAGUUCAAUAAGUGGCUUGAGAAACUCAAUGAUGCUGUGUACAAUCUGGACGACCUCCUGGAUAAGAUUGCUACUGAUGCUGCAAAACAAAAUUCAGAAGCCAAAUCCCAGAACCCAAGAAGCUGGAAACGAAAAUUGUCCUCUACCAAAAAAUUAUCUCCCAAACUAUUUGUGAAGGGUAUUAGGAUUGCUAUAAGAAUUAAAAGACUUGAAAGAGAAGCAGAACGCCUUGGCCUGGUGGUGAGCGUGAUUAAAAGGAACGAAAAUGCUGGAAGUGAGCCAGUUAAAAGAUUCCCUUCUACAGAUUCCAUGGUCUGCGGAAGACAUGAGGAUAAAGAAGAGAUUGUAGUUAAACUGUUGCAGUCACAUGAUGCCAGCCAUGAUGGGAUACCCGUAAUCUUCAUUGUGGGCAGGGCCGGACUAGGCAAGACCACCCUUGCUCAGCUUGCAUUCAACGACCAAAGAUUGAAGAUUCAAUUCGACCUCAAAGUAUGGGUCUACGUUGGAGAUGACUUUGACGUUCGCAAGGUGAUGAAAACAAUUCUUGCCACCACAACUGGGCAAAUUCCUGGGGUUGACCAUUUAGAUCUGCUUAAGUUGAAUGAGAGUUUGUUCGGGAAGAAACUUCUACUUGUCUUGGAUGAUAUUUUGAAGUGGAAUGAUGAUAGCUGGAAUACCCUACGGAAACUUUUAAGAGACGCAGCACAAGGGAGUAGGAUUGUCAUAACCACAACUGAACCGCCGAGGGACAUGGAAUUUAA
rnacentral:misc_RNA from 1 species